GGGGACGUAGCUCAGAUGGUAGGGGCGCUCGCUUCGCAUGCGAGAGGCACGUGGUUCGAUUCCCCGCACCUCCA
rnacentral:tRNA from 1 species